ACUUGAUAACGGUUGGAGAUACUUACCAACCGAAACGUCGUGUUACAAUAAAUAAAUAAGACAAUGCAAGUCCGACAAGAUGUUUUCACUGUACCAUUGUCUACCACCUUCAGAAACAACGAUUAUCUGUGUUUUAAAAUAAUUUAUUAAGAUUCCACUAAAAGAAGAGGAGUGGGAACAAGUUGCCUCAGAGUUUAACGAAAAAUGGAAUUUUUGGAAUUGCCUAGGUGCUAUAGAUGGCAAACAUAUUAAUAUUAUUAAACCACAGAAUGCAGGGUCCAGAUAUUUUAACUAUAAAGGAUAUCACAGUGUGGUGUUGAUGGCCAUUUAGAUGCCAAUUACAAUUACUUGAUGGUUGACGGACGACAAAACGAUAGAAUUUCAGAUGGUGGCGUGGUCUACAAUACAAAAUUUUGGGAGUUGCUACAAAAUAAUAUGUUAAAUAUUCCCGAACCUUCAAAAUUUCCAGCUACAGAUGUCUACUGUCCUUAUGUAUUUGUUGAGGAUGGUGCCUUUGCUUUGAGUACCAAUUUAAUGAAACCAUAUAAUCGAGAACACGCGGCAAGAUCUCAACGUAUUUUUAACUACCGUUUAUCCAGAGCCCGAAGAGUAGUGGAAAAUGCCUUUGGAAUCCUUGUUACGAGAUUUGGAAUUUUUCAGAAGCCCAUAAAUUUGUCCCCGGAAAAAGUUGCUACAGUUACAUUGGCAUAUUGCUAUCUACAUAAUUUUUUAAUGCGAAAAAAGAAGGAAUAUUGCACAAAUAAUGUUUUAAUAACAGAAAAUUUGAGAACAGGACAAUGUGAAGUUGGAACUGAAAUGUCAGAAAACGAAUUGAUUCCACUUCAAAAAGGCACAUUUAGAAACUUUUCCAAAAGUGCGAAAGAAGUCAGAGAUCAUUAUCAAAAUUACUUCAAUAAGGAGGGGCAGAUACCUUGGCAGGACAAUAUAGUUUAGAAACUAUAAAAAUAGGAUUAAGAGCAUAUGUACAACAAAAAAUAAGAAUAAAAUGAUAAUACGCUUGUCUCUGAUAUUGUAGAUCUUCUGGUACAGUAAAGCCUCGAUAGUCCGGACUAAUAAAAACGACGGUGAUCCGGAUUAACGAAAAAUUCGGAUUACUGAAACAUGAUGUCUUUUUACAUACAUAUAUGUUUUUUAUUAGGGAAUAUUAUAUGUGUAUAACUAAAAAAUUGCCUACAAAUAUGUGAUAAACGAGAAAAACAUACAAAUUAAAAGGAGAAACUAAAUUACAUGUUUGCUUUGUAGUAGGUACAUAAUAAAGCUAAUUAAAAAAGUC